AGAUAGAGGCGCAGGUUUCAUCAGUAAGACAGAACAACAGAUAAAGGGAAAUCAUUUCUGCCUGAAAGGGAAAACUGCCGAAGGAAGAUAUCAUCCCUUAAGAGUUAUAUUCGAGAUAUACUUCCUGGGACGCAGCAGAAUAUGCUGCGGACUGUCACUUCAGUAAGUGGAGCGCUAUCGGA
rnacentral:ncRNA from 1 species